rnacentral:rRNA from 1 species
UACGAAGGGGGCGAGCGUUGUUCGGAAUUACUGGGCGUAAAGGGCGCGUAGGCGGUGUGUCAAGUCAGGCGUGAAAGCCCCGGGCUCAACCUGGGAACGGCGCUUGAGACUGGCACGCUCGAGUUCGGGAGAGGAUGGUGGAAUUCCCAGUGUAGAGGUGAAAUUCGUAGAUAUUGGGAAGAACACCGAUGGCGAAGGCAGCCAUCUGGACCGACACUGACGCUGAGGCGCGAAAGCGUGGGGAGCAAACAGG